AACCCGGCCCUUUUCAGGGCCACCCAAAUCAUUAAAAAGGGCUGUAU
rfam:Branchiostoma floridae genomic scaffold BRAFLscaffold_246, whole genome shotgun sequence.